UGCAAGUGCUCAAUCGUAUAUUGUGUUUUUAAUUGACUAAUAUUUGAUCAAUACUAUUUUAGAUUAGAUGAAUUUCUGAGAAGUCAAGAAGGAUUCAGAACAAAUGCCUUCAAAAUUAUCAUGAAGAUGUUGGUUUGGUGGAAGAAGACAGCAGGAAGUAGACAGUUUGUGGAUGAGCUGCUUCACAGCAUCUUCUUUCUGGGAAAUAUCAACAUUCCUCCGUAUCCCCCAGAAAUGAUUUUUCCUGAUGAGAUGUUGAAUGCCUUGAAGAAGGAAUACCCUCCCCAGGAGGAGUCCAUUCUCCUGUGUGCUGGACAUGAUUGUCCUGCAGAAAGGUCAAGAGAAUGAAAACCAAAUAAUACAGAGUCUGAAAGCUCUCAUCAAAACACUGAAACCAAAGUUUCUGGUCCCCUCCACUAUCUGCGUCUCUCAGAAGUCAGUCAAUGCAGUCAGAUGCUAUGGAGUCACCAUGUCCACUUCUGGCGUGAAUCCCGGGAAAAUCAUGAUUGCUGCCUCCUGUUGCAGCAUUUGGGAUGAUUAUGUAGCUGGUGCAGUGAUGACCUACUAUCCAAAGAAGGUCAAGAACUCAUAUUUUGAUGGAACCAUCAAACUUCCAGAGUAUGUCAGGUGCGAGGCGUUUAGCCUCUGUAAAGAAGAGAGAAUGCCUCCUUGUAGAUCCUGUGGGAAUUUGUUUGGUUUGCGCACGACUGACACAAAGGAGUGGGCCUAUGGCAACUGUGCUGAAGCUGAGAGUGUGAGCAACUUGCUCAAAAAUGAGAAAGAUGUAAACACAGAUGCACCACUAGAUGGCAGCAUUACAUGUUCAGUUAAAAGUCCAGAUUUGACAAACCAAAAUAUAGUAAUGUUUUAUGUUAGACCUGGUCUAAUGUAGAGUGGAUGGGAAAAAAGCAGCAAUAUCGAAUUCUUUUCUCUUGUCACAUAUGCAAUAUGGGUUUUACAAAUCAACUGUGUUUUAAACAAUCUUUCGCUGCUCUAAAUGAAUCUAGUCAGGGUUUGGCAAGUUUUUGAUCUAGACAUGGUCUGGAUGCAGAAAAAGCAGUAAAAUCAUCUAAAGUCCAACACCCACUUUCAAAUUUGUGAGACAUUUUUGUAUUACUUUUGUAAACAAAACAGAAACAAAUCCUUAUCUUUUGAAAAUUGGUUUAACAACAACAUUUUACUUGUAAAACAGCUAUUUAACUGGAAGGGUUUCUGUACUCACAUGAAGAUUUUAUAGAAAAAAUGCAGUGUUCCUGUCUCCCAAAGUGAGCAUAAUACAGUAAUUCAUGUACUAUCAACUGGCAUUAUAUGACAUACAUAUGACAUUGUUACUUUGGCAAAUUACAUCAUUACUGUUGAUUCCAUUUCCAUUUUUGACAAUUUUCAUUUGAAUUUUAAUUUAACAACGCUUUCAUCAGAAACACACUUAAUGCCUGUUAAACAUGAAUGAACAGACCGAGCUCUUGAUGGUAGAACAUGGGACGCUGUAUUUACUCUCCCCUACAAAUAUGUGUUGCCUAACAAAAUCAAAGAACUUUUAUUUAAAAUCAUACAUAGAUAGUUCUUUUUGUAAUUAUAUGGUGGAAAUGCUAGAACAUGUGUUUAUUCAGUGUGUACAUGUGACACUGUUUUGGACUGAUUUUCAGUUGGAUCUAAAAACAUAUUUGGUGAGGAAAUUUUACUUAAAAAAACAUGAUUUGUUAUUAAUAUUCAACAAUCCUAAUUUUUCAAGCUAUUAACAAUAUGUCAUCAAUUUGCUCAUUAUUUAGCCAAAUUUGACAUGGGUGUGUUCAUAUUUUUUUUGUUCUUUUAUUGUUCUACCUAUUCUUGCAUCUCUCUGUCAUGGAACUAAACACAUUUGUUUUUAUUUCAGUUUUAAUUCUUUGUUUAUAAUGUGUCACUGUGUUAUGCUGGGGUACAUUCCAUGAAAACUCAUGAUAUGAUAAUAUGUAUUGUUUGACAAAUGUUGUUCAAUAAAGGAAAAAAAG